UAAAAACACACUUUCAUAACAAAAACAUCCAAAACUUCACAUAGUAUUAAAUAUCAACCUAUCCUAACCAGCUAUAUAGUGGUUAGCUACUCAUAGAAUUAUCUAAAACACAAGAAAGCAUUGAAUACAUGAUCAGAUCUAAAAGAAAACGAUAAUAUGAAGGGUCUACCUUGGUAAGGAUCAAUAUCUCGACCUCCUGUAUGCUAUGCUUCCUUGAAUCCUUCUCCCGUUGAUCGAAUCCUGAAUCUUCCUUCUUGGAACAACCCUUUUUUCGCGUUUCUUGCUGCUUAGUUCGUAACUUAUGGUAUCAAUCGACAUAUCUUUCUUUAAAUAAGGUCCAGGUGUAGUCCAGGGCAGGUACGACCCGUAAGCAACUAUCGGGUGCUGCCCGUAUCAAGAUGAAGAAGAUUUCAAGAAUUCCAAAUGUUUGAUGAUCCUUCCUUCCACCUCCUGUGGAUUGGAGAGAAAAUCUUUGGUAGCAAUUGGUGGAGAACAAGAGAAUUUACUUAGAGAAUUUGGAUGUUUGGGUUCUUGUGUACAUGGUAUUUAG
rnacentral:lncRNA from 1 species